rfam:Erythrobacter litoralis strain DSM 8509 contig3, whole genome shotgun sequence.
CGGGGAGUAGCGCAGCCUGGUAGCGCAUCUGCUUUGGGAGCAGAGGGUCGCUGGUUCGAAUCCAGUCUCCCCGA